rnacentral:rRNA from 1 species
CCAUCAUUUAAAGAAAGCGUAAUAGCUCACUGGUCGAGUCGGCCUGCGCGGAAGAUGUAACGGGGCUAAACCAUGCACCGAAGCUGCGGCAGCGACACUCAGGUGUUGUUGGGUAGGGGAGCGUUCUGUAAGCCUGUGAAGGUGUGUCGUGAGGCAUGCUGGAGGUAUCAGAAGUGCGAAUGCUGACAUAAGUAACGAUAAAGCGG